rnacentral:rRNA from 1 species
UACGUAGGGUGCAAGCGUUGUCCGGAAUUAUUGGGCGUAAAGAGCUCGUAGGCGGUUUGUCGCGUCUGCUGUGAAAACCCGAGGCUCAACCUCGGGCCUGCAGUGGGUACGGGCAAACUAGAGUGCGGUAGGGGAGAAUGGAAUUCCUGGUGUAGCGGUGGAAUGCGCAGAUAAUCAGGAGGAACACCGAUGGCGAAGGCAGUUCUCUGGGCCGUAACUGACGCUGAGGAGCGAAAGCGUGGGGAGCGAACAGG